UACGUAGGGGGCAAGCGUUGUCCGGAAUUAUUGGGCGUAAAGAGCUCGUAGGCGGUUUGUCGCGUCUGCUGUGAAAACUCGGGGCUUAACUCCGGGCCUGCAGUGGGUACGGGCAGACUAGAGUGCGGUAGGGGAGACUGGAAUUCCUGGUGUAGCGGUGAAAUGCGCAGAUAUCAGGAGGAACACCGGUGGCGAAGGCGGGUCUCUGGGCCGAUACUGACGCUGAGGAGCGAAAGCGUGGGGAGCGAACAGG
rnacentral:rRNA from 1 species